UUUCGCCUACGGGAGGCAGCAGUGGGGAAUCUUCCGCAAUGGGCGCAAGCCUGACGGAGCAACGCCGCGUGAAUGAAGAAGGUCUUAGGAUCGGAAAGUUCUGUUCUUAGGGAAGAAGUCUUUUCUUGUGAAUAAUGGGAGAAGGUGACGGUACCUAUGGAGAAAGCUCCGGCUAACUACGUGCCAGCAGCCGCGGUAGUACGUAGGGAGCGAGCGUUGUCCGGAAUUACUGGGCGUAAAGGGCGCGUAGGCGGGAACUUAAGUUAGAUGUGAAAACUCCGAGCUCAACCUGGACA
rnacentral:rRNA from 1 species